UGGGGAAUUUUGGACAAUGGACGCAAGUCUGAUCCAGCCAUGCCGCGUGCGGGAAGAAGGCCUUCGGGUUGUAAACUGCUUUUGUACGGAGCGAAAAGGUCUGCCCUAAUACGGUGGGCUCAUGACGGUACCGUAAGAAUAAGCACCGGCUAACUACGUGCCAGCAGCCGCGGUAAUACGUAGGGUGCGAGCGUUAAUCGGAAUUACUGGGCGUAAAGCGUGCGCAGGCGGUUAUAUAAGACAGAUGUGAAAUCCCCGGGCUCAACCUGGGACCUGCAUUUGGGACUGUAUAGCUAGAGUACGGUAGAGGGGGAUGGAAUUCCGCGUGUAGCAGUGGAAUGCGUAGAUAUGCGGGGGAACACCGAUGGCGAAGGCAAUCCCCUGGACCUGUACUGACGCUCAUGCACGAAAGCGUGGGGAGCAAACA
rnacentral:rRNA from 1 species